GAGGUACUCUAAGCGCUAGACAGGACGGGGUGGGAGUCGGUAACAUCGUCUCCUCUGGGCUGGCCCUGCUUCUGCUUAGCUCUGGGCAUAAGACUGACUCCAGUACAGUCACAGUUAUGUCUCUGAGCUCACCCAGUCCUGGGUUCCAGGUUCCCAGCUCUGAGCCUGGCGAGACACACACAGGCUGGUGCUGUGGGAUGUCUUGGUACGGUGAUCUGCUUGCCUUGACCUCCCAAAGUUCAGGGAUUACAGGCGUGAGGCACCAUGCCCAGCCAGUCCCUGUCUUCAAAUACAGUCACACUGGGGGUUAAACAAUGUAUAAAUUUGGGGGCGAUACAAACAUUCAGUCCAUAACACCCCCUAUACCCCAACCCUAGGCAACCACUAAUCUACAUCUUAUCUCUACAGAUGACCUAUUCUGGACAUGUCAUAUAAAUGGAAUCAUACAAUGUGUGGUCAUUCGUGUCUGGCUUCUUUCAUAUAGCAUAAUGUUAUCAAGGUUCAUCCACACUGUAGUAUCUCAUUUCUUUUUAUUAGGAAUAAUACAGUUUCACUUUAUGGAUUGCUGUGGUUUGAACCUGUCCCCUAAAGUUCAUGUGUUGGAAACUUAACCUCCAAUUCAACUGUUGAGAGGUGGGAACUUUAAGAAGUGAUUAGGUUAUGUGAGCUCUUCCCUCAUGAAUGGAUUAAUGGCAUUAUUGCAUGAGUAGGUUAGUUAUCAAGGGAGUGGACAGCUGAUAGAUAAAUGGAUGGGUUCUGCCCCCACCCACCCCCUCUCUUGCACUGUCUUGCCCUUCCGCUUUCUGCUGUGGGAUGAGGCAGAAAGAAGGCCCUCACCAGAUGCAGGGCCCUUGACCUUCGACUUCCCAACCUCUAGAACUGAAAGAAAGAUAUUUCUAUUCUUUAUAAAUUAUCCAGCCUUAGGCAUUCUACGAUGCAGCACAAAACAGACUAAGACAUGGAUAUGCCACUUUCUUCAAUCAUCAGUUGACAGACAUUUGGGUUGUUUCCACUCGGGCUAUUAUGAAUAAUGCUGCUAUGAAUACUCACGUACAAGGUUUUUGUGGAAUAUGCUUUUAUUUCUUUUGGUUACAUAUCUAGAAGGGAAAUUGCUGGAUCAUAUAACUCUAUGUUUAAACAUCUGAGGAACUGCCAGACCAUUUUCCAAAGUUAAUGAAUGAUUUUACGUUCCAACCAGCCAUGUGUGAGGGUUCCAAUCUCUCCACAUUCUCACAAAAACUUGUUAAUUAACUGUCUUUUCAGCUUUUUUUUUUUUGAGUCGGAAUCUCACUCUGUCACCAGGCUGGAGUGCAGUGGCGUGAUCUCAGCUCACUGCAACCUACGCCUCCCAGGUUCAAGUGAUUCUCCUGCCUCAGCCUCCCAAGUGACUGGGAUUAUAGGCGCCUGUCACCACGCCCAGCAAAUGUUUGUAUUUUUAGUAGAGACAGGGUUUCACCAAGUUGGCCAGGCUGGUCUCAAACUCCUGAGCUCAGGUGAUCCGCCCACCUCGGCCUCCCAAAGUGCUGGGAUUACAAGUGUGAGCCACUGCCUGUAAAUAUUAUCAUUUAAAAAAUAUCAUUUUUAAAAAUAUUAUUUAAAAAAAAAAUUUUAAUGUUUUUUAAAUAUUAUUUUUAAAAAUAAUAAUAAUGUUAUUAUUAUUUGAGAUAGAGUCUCCAUCUGUUUCCCAGGCUGGAGUGCAGUGGCGUGAUCUCAGCUCACUUCAGCCUUCACCUGCCAGGUUCAAGUGAUUCUCCUGCCUCAGCCUCCUGAGUAGCUGGGACUACAGGCACCCGCCACCAUGCCUGGCUAAUUUUUUGUGUGUUUUUAGUACAGACUAGGUUUCACCAUGUUCACCAGGCUGGUCUCGAACUCCUGAGCCCAGGUGAUUCGCCCACCUCAGCCUCUCAAAGUGAUGGGAUUACAGGCAUGAGCCGCCACUACUGGCGUAAUUACCUGUCUUUUUUAUUAUCACCAUCCUAAUAUGUAUGAUGUGGCACCUCGUUGUAGUUUUGAUUUGCAUUUUUCUGAGGACUAAUGAUGUUGAGGAUCUUUUCAUGUAAUUAUUGGCCAUUUAUAUAACUUCUUUGAACUGUCUAUUCAAGUCAUUUGCCCAUUUAAUUUUUUUUCUUUUUCUUUCUUUUUCUUGAGACAAGGACUCCUCUGUUGCCCAGGAGUGCAGUGGCACAAUUUCGGCUUACUGCAGCCUCCACCUCCAUGGUUCAAGUGAUUCUCAGCCUUCCGAGUAGCUGGGACUAGAGGUGCAGGCCACCACACUCGACUGAUUUCUUUCUUUCUUUCCUUUUUUUGUUUUUUGAGACUGAGUCUUGCUCUCUCGCCUAGGCUGGAGUGCAGUGGCGUGAUCUCUUCUCACUGUGACCUCUGCCUCCCGGGUUCAAGUGAUUCUCCUGUCUCAGCCUCCCGAGUAGCUGGGAUUACAGGCACAUGCCACCAUGCCUGGCUAAUUUUUGUACUUUUAGUAGAGACAGGGUUUCACCAUGUUGUCCAGACUGUUCUCAAACUCCUGACCUCAGGUGAUCCGCCCACCUCAGCCUCCCAAAGUGCUGGGAUUACAGGCGUGAGCCACCGUGCCCAGCCUAAUUCCAUUUUUAAAUUGGAUUAUUUGUCUUUUUUAUCAUUGAGUUGCAAUAGUUCUUUAUACAGUCUAGGUACAAAUCCCUUCCCAGAUAUAUGAUUAGCAAAGAUUUUUACCUGCUCUGUGGGUUAUCUUCUCCUUUUCUUUUUUAUCUUCUCUUUUUCUUAAUAAUGUCCUGUGAAUCUCCCUGACGUCUGGGUAUUUGGAAAGAAAAAGAAAAAAAUUAAAGAAUAAUGUCAUAUGAAGCGCAAGAGGUUUCAAUUUUGAUGGUGUUCAGUUUCUGUAUUUUUUUCUUUUGUUGCUUGUGCUUUUGGUGUCAUAUCUAAGAAAGCAUUGCUUAAUUCAAAGUUAUAAAGAUUCUAAGAGUCCUAACUUUUAGUUCUAUGAUUCAAUUUGAGUUAACUUUUAUAUGUAUUGUGAUAUAGGGAUCCAAAUUCAUUCUUUUGCAUGCAGAUAUUCAAUAUCUACCUUGUAUAUAUACAUAUAUUUUUUUAAUUUUUAAUUUUUUUUUUUUUGAGACAGAGUCUCCCUCUGUCACUGAGGCUGGAGUGCAGAGACACAAUCGCAACCCACUGCAACCUCUGCCUCCCAGGUUCAAGGGAUUCUUGUGCCUCAGCCUCUCGAGUAGCUGGGAUUAGAGGUGUGUGUCACUAUGCCCAGCUAAUUUUUGUAUUUUUAGUAGAGACAGUGUUCUGCCAUGUUGGCUGGGCUGGUCUCGAACUCCUUGCCUCAGGUAAUCCGCCCACCUUGGCUUCCCAAAGUGCUGGGAUUAUAGGAGGGAACUACCUCGCCCUGCCUAUUGUAUAAUUUUUUAUUGAGAGUGCUAUGGUUUGAACAUCCCCUCCAACUCAUGUUGAAAUUUAAUUGCCAUUGUAACAAUAUUAAGAGAUGAGGCCUUUACGAGGUGAUUAAGUCAUGAAAGUUCUGUCCUCAUGAGUGGAUUAAUGCCAUUAUCAUGGGAAUGAGUUAGUUAUCACAGGGGUAGGCUCCUGAUACAAGGAUAAAUUCAGUGCUAUUUCUCUCUGUGUCUCACGUCUCACAAGAUUGCAUGCCUGAUAUGGUUUGGCUCUGUGUCCCCACCCAAAUCUUGUCUCAAAUUGUAAUCCCCACAUGUUGGGGGAAUGGCCUGGUGGGAGGUGACUGAAUCAUGGGGGCGGACUUCCCCCUUGCUAUUCUCGUGAUCGAAUUCUCAGGAGAUCUGGUUGUUUGAUAAGUGUGUGGCUCUUCCUCUUUGCUCUCCCUUUCUCUUCUGCUGCCAUGUAAGAUGUGCCUUGCUUCCCCUUCACCUUCUGCCAUUAUUGUAAGUUUCCUGAGGCCUCCCCAGCCAUGUGAGUCAAUUAAACUUUUUUUUUUUUUUUUUGAGACCGAGUUUCAAUCUGUCACCGAAGCUGGAGUGCAGUGGCGCUGUCUCAGCUCACUGCAACCUCUGCCUCCCAGGUUCAAACAAUUAUCCUGCCUCAGCCUCCUGAAUAGCUGGGAUUACAGGUGCCUGCCACCAUAGCCAGCUAAAUUUUUUGUAGAGACAGGGUUUUACCGUUGGCCAGGCUGGUCUCAAACUCCGUACCUCAAGUGAUCUGCCCACCUUGCCUCCCAAAGUGCUGGGACUACAGGCGUGAGCCACUGCGCCUGGCCUCUUUUUUUUUUUCUUUCUUUUUUUUUUUUUUAAAUAAAUUACCCAGUCUCAGGUAGUUCCUUACAGCAGUGUGAAAACAGACUAAUACAAAGCACUUUCACCUUCUGCCAUGGAUGACCCUUGAUGCUGGUGCCAUGCUGUUGGACCUCUAAGACUGCAGAACUGUGAGCCAAAUAAAUCUCCUUUCUUUAUAAAUUACCCAAUCUGUGGCAUGGUUAUAGCAGCAGAAAAUAGACUACACCAGAAUAUAGAAUAUAUCAAGAGUAUAGAAACACAACUGACUUCUGUGUAUUGAUUUUGUUGUUACAGCUUUGCAGAAUUUGUUUAUUAGCUCUAACAAAGUUUUUUUCAUAGAUUCUUUAGGAUUUUCUAUAAAAUCACCUCAUCUAUAAAUGGAGAUAGUUUUACUUCUUCCUUUCUGAUUUGCUUGCUUUUUAUUUUUCCUUGCCUCAUGGCAAGAGCUUCCAGGCAAGAACUGGUGAGAGCUUCCAGUACAAGGCUGAAUAGAUGUGGCAAAAGUGGGCAUCCCUUUCUUGUUUCUGAUCUUAGAGGAAAAGCUUUUAUUCUCUCACCAUUGAGUAUGAUGUUGGCAGUGGGUUUUUUCAUAGAUGCCCUUUAUCACGUUAAUUGAGUUUCCUUCUAUUCCUAGUUUGCUGAGUAUUUUUAUGAUGAAGGGUGCUGAAUUUUGUCAAAUGCUGUUUUUACACCAAUUGAAAUAAUAAUGUUUUCCUUUAUUGUA
rnacentral:lncRNA from 1 species